rnacentral:lncRNA from 1 species
CUUUGUUAAGGUUGUUUUAGGAUGACAAAUUAGCAUAGUGAAGUGUAUAACACAAUGCCUAAUACAUGAUAGACACUUAAGAAUGUUAGUUCCCUCUCUACAAAUAUGAAUUUCAUUCAUAUCCAUUAUGCCCUCUGGGAGUGAAACAGACUCAUUCUUUUGAGGAAAUAAGUCUUGCUAAAGGUAAAGGGGCUGUCUCCUUCUCCCAUUCUUGCCAUAUGACACUGUCUGCUCUCUCUUUGUCUUCCACCAUGAAGACAGGCAUGGUAGCUCAUGUGGAAGCUUCCCGAGGCCCUCACCCAGAAGCAGAUGCUGGAGCCAUGCUUGUACAGCUUGCAGAACUUAAAUCUUGCUGCUGCUCACUCUCUGGGUCUGCACUACCUUUAUGAGCUGUAACACUGUGAAGGUCUGCAGCUUCACUCCUGAAGCCAGCGAGACCAUGAACCCACCGGGAGGAACAAACAACUCCUGACGCGCCACCUUUAAGAGCCCUAACACUCACUGCAAAGGUCUGCAGCUUCGCUCCUGAAGUCAGAAAGACCACGAACCCACCGGGAGGAACAAACAACUCUGGACGCACCACCUUUAAGAGCUGUAACACUCACUGCGAAGGUCUGCGGCUUCACUCCUGAAGUCAAGCAAGACCACAAACCCACCGGAAGGAAAAAACUCCAGACACAUCUGAACAUCUGAAGGAACAAACUCCAGACAUACCAUCUGUAAGAACUGUAACACUUACCGCGAGGGUCCGCGGCUUCAUUCUUGAAGUCAGCCAGACCAAGAACCCACCGGGAGGAACCAAUUCCGGACACAGUAUGGUUGGUCCACAAGAGAGAUAGUGUUUCACUCUUCUUGCCCACACUGGAGUGCAAUGGUGCAAUCUCAGCUUACUGCAACCUCCACCUUCUGGAUUUAAGCGAUUCUCUUGCCUCAGCCUCCUGAGUAGCUGGAAUUACAGGUGCC